AUUGAACGCUGGCGGAAUGCUUUACACAUGCAAGUCGAGCGGCAGCACGGGGGCAACCCUGGUGGCGAGCGGCGAACGGGUGAGUAAUACAUCGGAACAUGCCCAGUCGUGGGGGAUAACACUUCGAAAGAAGUGCUAAUACCGCAUACGUCCUGAGGGAGAAAGCGGGGGAUCGCAAGACCUCGCGCGAUUGGAGUGGCCGAUGUCAGAUUAGCUAGUUGGUGGGGUAAAGGCCUACCAAGGCAACGAUCUGUAGCUGGUCUGAGAGGAUGAUCAGCCACACUGGGACUGAGACACGGCCCAGACUCCUACGGGAGGCAGCAGUAGGGAAUUUUGGACAAUGGGGGCAACCCUGAUCCAGCCAUUCCGCGUGAGUGAAGAAGGCCUUCGGGUUGUAAAGCUCUUUCGGCAGGAACGAAACGGCGAGCUCUAACAUAGCUUGCUAAUGACGGUACCUGAAGAAGAAGCACCGGCUAACUACGUG
rnacentral:rRNA from 1 species